CUUUUCUUUCAUAAAAUAUCGACACACGGCUCAGUGAAUUUAAAUUUUAUUGGAUGCGUAUACAUAUACGCACAACAUUAUAUACAUAUUGCCAUUUAAAUUUAUGUAUAGGUAGUAUAUGAGAUACAAAUACAAAGAUAAUAAAAAAAGCUUGAUUUAUAGCAUUAAAUUAACGUUUUAUGGCGUUAUUGGUUAAAUAUUUAUCGCUUCUUUCGUAUUUUUGAACAUAACUGUCAUAUGAAAGCCGGUUGCAUUGAAUUACUUGCUCUUAGCAAGGUUUAUACCGCCGCAAUGGUAGGAGUUCUAACUAGGCACUAUCCUCUUGAUAAUCAUGCAAUGAAGUCAAAACUGCGUGAAAGAAGGUGAGGUGGAAAUAUCAAGGCAUUUUCCCUCCAGGGGCUUUCGUAUGACUAAGGUUGAAGCAUCUCGGUGGUCAUACCUUUUGCGAACUGGGGCGAAUUGGCUGGAAUUGAUAUUAGGUGUAUCAACAAAUUUUUGGCAAGCUCAACGCGCUUACUCGAUAUGCGACGGUCUUUUUGAUCCAUACUUAGGAGAGACGACAAUGACAUUAGAAAUGUUUCUAGCUUUGCAAGUUGGAUCAGUCGUGACUUCAUGAAUCCGCAUGAAUACUUAACACUAGAAAUACUUGUAAGAAAAGUGAAUAUAUAUAUGUACCUAUGUCGCGUGUAUAUAUGUAUAUAACAUAUCUGUUUCGCUUUGAACAUAACUGCAUUUAAAUAUAAAUAGUAAAAAUAUGCAAACGCAUUUAGAAUAGUUCGCUAACUUGUUUUAAAAUCGCAGAUUAUCUCUAAAUUUGUUUUAUGCAUUCUUUUACCCACAACUGGCGAUUUCUUGUUGCUACUUAUCAUAGCGCUCAUCUCUUCUAUAAAAUAUUUUUUUCAAGCACGUGGCGUUAAAAUGGCAAAAUGUGUAUUUGUGUAUUUCUACAAGUUUUUCGGGCACUCUAUUAAGUUAUUUAAAUAUACCGAUGUAUAGUAAUUUUUGGCAAUUUUAUUUCUUAUUUUUUGCACAUGAAUUAAUGUGCAUAUAAAAAGCGAACAACAUACGGAAAAAUAGUGCAUUAGUUAGAAACCGUAAAAGAGAUCACAACAGGCACGAACUUAACGAAUUUGUGUUGUAUAAAACUUUAAACGAAACAGCAAAAUACAAUAACAAAAUAUAAAAUGAAGUUUGCAUUGAGUAUCCUAACGAUCUGUGGAUUAAUUGCUCUCGCCUUCGCAGCACCAAUUGACGACUCGGCUAAUGCACGACUGUUGCGUUACGAUUUUGACAAUAUUGGAGUAGAUGGUUACGAUUUUAGGUAACAAAAGAAAAAAAGUAAUAACUACAAAUACAAUGUGAAUAAUGUGCAAUCGGCAUUACAACGAGUAGUGAAUCGAAAGUUACAUGAAUUUAUGAACAGUGAGAUUAAAAUGAAAAAAAAAAAAACAAAUAAUAAUAAUUAAAAUAUUCUGAAAAGAUAAUCACUCGUAUCGGCUCAAAUUCAUCAGCUGUUUUUUAAUAGCACAGCACAGUGAUGAUUAAGAUAAUAGAUAAGAAAAGUGCUCAAACACUUUAUGCUGUGACGUUAUAAAGCUUAAACACAUUGUGCAAUUCACCGCGAGUGGUAAUUGAAGUGGGGUGAAAAGUAAAUUCGUGUAAAAACACACAUGUUUUUGUGAAUUUUUUGGUGGCGACCCAGUUAAAAUCCCUUUGUUAAAACCAAUGGUACAUUAAAUUAUGACAUUCGAAGAAUGUUGGUCGAAAUUUGCGCAUUUUUGAGAUAUAUUAAAAAGUGGCAGCUUUAUUCGAUUUUAUCUCGGAAAAAAGUAUAAUUACGGUGCCUGGUAUAACUUGGUGCUGGAUCAUCUGAAAUCAAAAAAUCAAGGACAAUUUGUUAGAUAACAGUUUUUUCCAAUAGGGUUAACAGUUAAUGCCAAUAGGGUUUUUGAAAUGACCAUUUUUCAUUUUGUUUUAAUACUUCAUUGAGAAAAACGUGAUUUUUUGCAAAGUCUGUUUUUAAAAAAUACUAAGAAAUUAAAAAAUAACUCUCCCGUGUUACUACAUAAAUUCUGUACAGAAAUAGUGUUUAAAAUUUCAAUUGAUCGGUGUAGUAGUUUUGAAGCUUUGAUGACUACCAACUUUGAAAACUUUUGAAACUAGUGACGGUAUCGAACGUAAGGAGAGUGCAGAACUUAAGGAUAUUGGCGCAGAUACUAAAGCGCUCAGAGUAGACGGGUUUUCGACAUGGAUAGCACCCGAUGGUAUAAAAUAUACACUGCAUUAUGUUGCUGAUGAGACAGGCUUUCAUCCAUGGGGCGACCAUUUGCCGCAAUUUAAGCCACAAAUUAAAAAUGAAACUGAAGAAACUGAUUAACUUUUGGGCACACUAUCAAUUUAAACUAAUACUUUAAAAUGUCAGUUAUGUCAAUUUUUAAAUAAUAUAAUAAUAAUAAUAAUAGUAAUAAUAAACAACUUUACAGUAUUAAGCGGAAAAA